rnacentral:RNase_P_RNA from 1 species
GACGAGGGAGAGAGGAAAGUCCGGGCAACACAGAGUGCCGCACUUCCUAACGGGAAGACGUCCGUGAGGGUGUAGCAGCGUAACAGAAAAGAACCGCCGUGUGCACGGUAAGGGUGAAAAGGUGGGGUAAGAGCCCACCGCGGAGGUGGUGACACAUUCCGGCCGUACGCCUUGCGGGUUGCAAGACCAUGUAUACCGACAGUUAAGGGUUACUCGUCCGAUGUCGGGGGGUAGGUUGCUUGAGGCGUCGGGAGACCGGCGUCGUAGAUUAAUGGUAGAGGCUCCGCCCGUCGGAGUACAGAACCCGGCUUAUAC